rnacentral:lncRNA from 1 species
UCUUCCUCCUCCUCCUCCACCACCACCUCCAGCUCCUCCGCCUUAUUUUGAGGUUUCUGUUUUUUUUCCUCUUCCUACCUGUGAAUUCUUGGUGGCCACUUUUUUUUCUGCCGCCUCCUCCUCCUCCACCACCUCCUCCUUUUCCUCCUCCUGCUUCACCACGUCCUCCUCCUUCUCCUAGUCAUUUCAUCAUUCCUGCUUUUUGCCUCCUCCUCCUUCUCUACCUCCACCUGCAACUUACCCACCUUAUUUCUUUCCACUGCUUUUUACCUCCUCCUCCUCAUUUUUCAGUCGCUGCUUUUUUCCUCUUUCUGCUCCUCCUCCUCCUGGUCAUCAUUUCAUCGUUCCUGCUUUUUGCCUCCACCACGUCCUCCUCCGCCAGAUGUUAAGAUGCUGAUAUUUUUCCUCCUUCUCCUCAAUUUGUGGUUGCUCCUUUUUUUCUCCUCCUCCUCCUCCUCCUCCACCACCACCACUUCCACCUCCUCCGCCUUAUUUUGUGGUUUCUGUUUUUUUCCUCUUCCUACUUGUGAAUUCUUGGUGGCCACUUUUUUUUCCGCCACCUCCUCCUUUUCCUCCUUCUGCUUCACCACGUCCUCCUCCUUCUCCUAGUCAUUUCAUCAUUUCUGCUUUUUGCCUUCUCCUCCUUCUCCUUCUCUACCUCCACCUGCAACUUACCCACCUUAUUUCCUUUCCGCUGCUUUUUACCUCCUCCUCAUUGUUCAGUCGCUGCUUUUUUCCUCUUUCUGCUCCUCUUUCUCCACCUCCAGCUCUAUCUCCUCCUCCUCCUGGUCAUCAUUUCAUCGUUCCUGCUUUUUUCUUCCACCACCACCACCUGCACCUCCUCCACCUUAUUUUGUGGUUUCUGUUUUUUUUUCCUCUUCUUACCUGUGAAUUCUUGGUGGCCACUUUUUUUUACCUCUUCCUCAUCCUCUUCCAACACCUUCUCCUUUUCCUGCUCCUGCUCCACCUCCUUCUCCUUCUCCUCCUCCACCGAAUUGUGUGGUUUCUGCUUUUGUUAUCUUCCUCUGUGUAAUUUCAGGGUCACCACUUUUUUCCUUGUAUUCUUUCUCACCACCUCCAGCUCCUCCAUUUCAUUUCACUUUUUCUGCUCUUUUUCUCUACCUGCCUUUUCUUUCCUUUUUACCUUCAAUUUCCUCCUCCUUGUCCUCCUCCUCCUCGUCCUUCACCUCCACCUUUACCUUACCGUCGUCAUUUUGUGGUUGCUUCUCUUUUCCUGCUCUUCCUCUUCAUUUUUUGCUUCUUAUUUCCUUCUCCUCCUCCUCCUGAUCUUCCUCCACUUCGACCUGCUCCUCUCCUAUUUAUCAUUUUUUUUGUCUUACUUCUCCACUCCACCUUUGUGUUCUUUGAAAAGUGUUUCUUUCUUUUUCCCCCUGUAG